rnacentral:rRNA from 1 species
AACGAACGCUGGCGGCAGGCCUAACACAUGCAAGUCGAGCGCCCUUUCGGGGGAGCGGCGGACGGGUGAGUAACGCGUGGGAAUAUGCCCUUCUCUACGGAAUAGCCUCGGGAAACUGAGAGUAAUACCGUAUACGCCCUGUGGGGGAAAGAUUUAUCGGGGAAGGAUUAGCCCGCGUUGGAUUAGGUAGUUGGUGGGGUAAUGGCCUACCAAGCCGACGAUCCAUAGCUGGUUUGAGAGGAUGAUCAGCCACACUGGGACUGAGACACGGCCCAGACUCCUACGGGAGGCAGCAGUGGGGAAUCUUAGACAAUGGGGGCAACCCUGAUCGAGCCAUGCCGCGUGAGUGAUGAAGGCCUUAGGGUUGUAAAGCUCUUUCAGCUGGGAAGAUAAUGACGGUACCAGCAGAAGAAGCCCCGGCUAACUCCGUG